AGGCAUGAAGCAUUACAAAUUAUAUUUAGGAAAGAUCUUUGUUAUUUGAAUAUUGAAAACACAUAAUUCAAAACAUCAUGUCACAUGCAAAACAUAAUAUGCAUUAAGUCAUAACAUCAUGCAUUAAAACAUUAAGAGCAAGCAUGUCAAGGAUCAAAAUCAAUUCUUUUCAAAUAAACUCUUCCUAUUUAUAUAUAAUUCUACACUGAUUUUAUCCUUAAGGUGUGUUUUCAAGUGAUCGAAACUUCAUUUGGCUUUUCACAAGCUUCUUAUAUACUUUCGUUUAUCUUGUCAUUCAUUUCCUCAUUUUUGAAUUUCUUCCUUUAAGCACUUAGUGAACAUUCUGAUCUUCAUUUUCUUUUUGUUUUACUUUACUAUGCUCUAUACUCUAUUUGCUCCCUAUCCGGUGGAGUUGGAAGGGGCACAAGGUACAACUACUAGCCUCCCUCUUGUGCCGUCCCUAAUAUGCCCUACACCAAAAAGUUGGGUCAAAUAGUGCCGCGUACUACCACUAGCCUCUCCAUUGGCAUCAUCCCUAUGAUGAGCAAUAUAGAAAGGUUAAACCGUUUCCUUUAAAAAUGUUCACUCCAAAGUCUUCCUGUUUAAAUGUAAUUAAUUACGGAUUUUAUUCCUUCCAAAAGAAUACUCACACAAGUCUCACAAAUGUGCCGAAUAUAUUAUGCUUAUUUUGCUUUUCUUUAAGAUUGGAGUAUUUGCUUUUAUUUAGCUUUUAAUUUUCUUGAAUAAUGUUCAUUUUUUUCUUUAUCUCUCUCUCUUUUUGUUAGUCUCAAGUAAUUUACAUGAAAGAGUAGAAUGAAGAAAUAAUCUAAUGUAUCAUAUAGAUGUAUAUCAUGCAAACAAUAUUUUCAUUAUGCUCAAGAAUUCAUAGUUUAUCAGAAGUUAUUUUAAAUCAAAAUUUGAAGCAUAAACUUGUGUAUUUCAUGGUUAUGC
rnacentral:lncRNA from 1 species